rnacentral:rRNA from 1 species
GUCUUGUACACACCGCCCGUCACACCAUGAGAGUUUGUAACACCCAAAGCCGGUGGGGUAACCUUCGGGAGCCAGCCGUCUAAGGUGGGACAGAUGAUUAGGGUGAAGUCGUAACAAGGUAGCCGUAGGAGAACCUGCGGCUGGAUCACCUCCUUU